rnacentral:rRNA from 1 species
AUGGAUGGCAUUGCCACGUUCCACUUCUUCGAAACAUGGUCAACUUUUUCGAGGGAUGGCGACCGGGCUGUGAUGAAGCUCCCCUACCUUGACCGCACCCAGUUGUGUCGCGUGACCCACCCGUUGUUCAUCGACACCCUCUCCCUUUUUUGCCUCAAGAUCAACCUAUCGCAGCCCUGGGGCCAGUGGUUAACGAGUGCCGUGAGCGCCCACUUGUGGCAGUGCAUGUGUCUAGCCCGACGACUCCCACCAAACUCCAUAAUGCGACUCGUGUUCGCGGCCAACAUCCGGCGUGCCAUGACGCCACCACUCCCGGAUGGUUACUUCGGCAACGUGGUGAUAAACGUCAGUGUCGCCGAUGAAGCGUGUGGCAUUGCCUCGGGCAACCUGGCCUACAUCGCGCACCGGAUCAAGGACACCCUCGGCCGGGUGGACGACGAGCUGCUGGGGAAAGCCGUUGGCCUGCGCGCCGAAUCGAACCGUGGAGGCUACGCACACCUGAUUGACAGCGCGCAUGGGGAUGGCAGCGUGCACAUCGUCAUGUGUAUAGACGCUACUAUUCUCAAGGAGUUCAAGCGUUUGUUGUAUGCCAAGUUCGAGAGCAUGGUGUAUUCCAAGUUCUAG